GCUGAGCGAGAGGAGGGUCCUGAGGCAGUUACAGGACAAGAAAGGUGUGUGUGUGUUGUGUGCGUGUGCGUGUGCGUGUGUGUGUGUGUGUGUGUGUGUGUGUGCGGUGUGUGCGUUCUUACAUGAUGUCUCUUCUCGUGGUCUGCCAUCCUGAUGUUUCCCUACAGCGGAGGGCGAUGGUCAGGCCCCCCAUCCCUCUCUCCUCAGGCCCCAUGAGGGUGUGGUGAACCAGGCUGUGGCCCCUCUACCAGGGCCACCGUCCCCCUCCUCCCCCCUCCCUGGGCCCCCGGUUAUCCCCCGCAGACACGCUCCAGUGGAGGCCCUGCACGACGGGUUCCUUCAGGGGUCCCUGCCCUCACAAACUCAUCUCCCUUCAAAACGGCAGCUGUCCCUCAGGAUGAACGAUCUGCCCUCUACCAUGCAGUCUGACCUCACCAUGAACAACACAGUCCCAGAGGUGGAGGGAGAGGGGACAGCAUCAGCUCGUUGUUUACCCAGAUCGCCUCAGCCUUCAGUGGGCUCCUGAAGACACCCUUCUCCCAGGCCCCCAUGCCCCGACCAACCUCCACCCACAGUCACCUGUAGCGCCCCCGGGGGCUCAGCAGGUAACUACACUCCACUGCAACACAAACCAAGACAGCCGACACACCACCAUAACACAGUUCACGUGCCUUUUCUAGGCCUCGUCUCCCUGCAUUUUGAAUAACACGUUAUGAAGUGCUUAUGUUGCUUCAGUGUUCAUAUCUUUUCAUAUUCAUCUAAUAUUACAACAUGGUGUCUGUAUGUUCAUCUAAUAUUACCACAUGGUGUCUGUAGUAUCACUUAUUACACAUGUGUCUGUAUGUAUCAUCUAAUAUGACCAGUCUAUUACCACAUGUGUCUGUAUGUUCAUCUAAUAUUACCUGUCUAUAUACCACAUGGUGUCUGUUGUUCAUCUAAUUUACCAUGUCUAUAACCACUGGUGUCUGUAUGUAUCAUCUAAUUUACCAUGUCUAUAACACAUGGUGUCUGUAUGUAUCAUCUAAUAUUACCAUGUCUAUAUACAACAUGGUGUCUGUAUGUAUCAUCUAAUAUUACCAUGUCUAUUACCACUGGUGUCUGUAUGUAUCAUCUAAUCAUUACAACAUGGUGUGUGUAGUAUCAUCUAAUAUUACCAUGUCUACAUACCACAUGGUGUCUGUAUGUAUCAUCUAAUAUUACAACAAUGGUGUCUGUAUGUAUCCUCAAUAUUACCACAU
ensembl:lncRNA